AAAUCUUAGCGGUGGAUCACUCGGUUCGUGGAUCGAUGAAGAACGCAGCUAGCUGCGAUAAAUAGUGCGAAUUGCAGACACAUUGAGCACUAAAAAUCGAACGCACAUUGCGCCAUCGGGUUCAUUCCCGUUGGCACGUCUGGCUGAGGGUUG
rnacentral:rRNA from 1 species